ensembl:lncRNA
CACAAAUACAGAGAGAGAGAGAGAGAGAGAGAGAAAUACAUACAUACAUUUAUCUGUAUAAACCUUGAUCAGAUUAUGUUUUCAAAUAUAUCUCUGGAUCUCACUUGAAAAAAAGUCCAAUUCAGUGGACUUUCAACCUUGGCAAAUCUAGUAUCAAGGACACAAGUGCUGUUUCUGUUCCCAUGCUGCUAGAAAUAAUUGUCAAAUUGUAAGCAAGAAAAAACACAACAGCAGGUUCUUUGCUUUUGUACCCUUGGUUAAACUAAAGGAGCAAAUCCGACCGUGCAAUGGUAGCUGACAAUGAAACUUUUUAACUCUGAGAAAUCAUUCUGACACGGAUUUCAUUUUGGCAUACUCUGCAUAGAACACAAGUUCCUUAUAAUGAAAUAGACGUGAAUGUGAUUGCAAUCAUGGAAGCUAUAUAAAUACAGCAGGCACGUCUGCGCAUGUUCAGGUUAAAGAUAUAUAAAUACAGCAGUCUGCGCAUGUUUAGGUUGUAAGCCGCAGGGUACAGAUGGACACCACCAGUGGCAAGGCAAGUUGUGAUGUCUCCUGUGCUGUGCUAGUGAGGCAAGUUGUGAUGUCUCCUGUGCUCUGCUAGUGAGGCAAGUUCUGAUGUCUCCUGUGCUGUGCUGUGCUAGUGAGGCAAGUUGUGAUGUCUCCUGUGCUCUGCUAGUGAGGCAAGUUCUGAUGUCUCCUGUGCUGUGCUGUGCUAACUAGUUCUGAUGUCUCCGGUGCUCUGCUAGUGAGGCCCAAGUGGGGUGGUCACCCAGCUCUCUGAGAGCUCUGAGCUGCUCCGCAGGCUUGACAUGGUGACAAUGCAAUGCGCUGCGUCAGCCCCUGCCCCUGACAGUGAUUUAUACGGGGUGCCAAACAGCCCGAUCGGCAGCGCAGCUGACAUGCUAAUUCAUGGAAAAGAAAUGAAAUGUGACACUGUAAUUGAUCUCCAAAUGCAUAAUUGGGAAAUGCAAGGACAUGCGUUAUUUUCAGAAAGAUGUGUGCUUCUACCGCACAGACAGUUGAAGGUCUGGAGGAGUGAUUAGCAAGGCAUACAUUCCUGAAGGGCAUAGAAAAUACUGCUUAGAUAAAGCUGAUCAUUACAAUUGAGUGAGUGUGCAUGAAACACCAUAAUAAGACUACACACUGUCAAACAGUAAGUUAAGUUCGAACCUGCUGAACCUAUUAUGUUGAUCUAACAGAUUCCAACACAGAAUUGAAUUAAUCUAACUGAAUCAUGUAGGACAAAUAUUAAACAAUAAACUAAGUACACAACUGGGAAGUCAACCCCUCCUUUAUAAAUGGAUUCCAAUCAGCCUUUGCAAGAACAUUGAAGUAAUGAAUGCUUCUGAAUGUUGUUCCAGAUUUAUUCAGAAUAUGCCAUUUCUAGAAGCAGUGGCAUGGCAAUAUCUUGAUCUAGUUGCAGUGAUUUAGCAUCUUCAAUACAACCUUUAUAAGAUCACACUCAGUAUGUUCCUGCUUAUCAAACUUGCAUGACACAAUUAUGUUGAAGUUACAUGAUUAAAUAAAGAAUUCCAUUCCAUUUCAUGUCAGCUUAAUAAAAAAAAUGUAUUGGAAUUAGUUUGUCAAGUUGUGCCAGUUUUGUAAGAAACCUAAAUA